rnacentral:lncRNA from 1 species
AUGAAGCAGUGCUUACACCAAGCCAAGAACAUUUCAGCUUCUCACUCUGUCCUGUGGAAACUGGGAAGAAAGAAGAGACGAUUAAGGAUGUUUCUGCAGAUAUCACCUGUUCCGUAUGGAGAAGUUAGAUACAAUACAGUCCUGGUGUAUAUGCCUGUGUCUGUGUGGAGAAAGGAGGAGAGCACUGAAAGAAAGGAAACCUGAAAAAAGCCCCACAAGAUCACUCAGCUUGGAAGAGAAAUCGAGUCUACUGCUCAUUGACUAAACGGAACAUGACCAUCUCCAUCAAGCAUCUGGAUUUCAAGUACUGUCUACAUAAGUAUCCAUAUUCAUAGCCAUAUUAUUGGAAAUACAUUCCAUUUUGAGUUUUAUUCUAGAGAAGGACAUCAUCGCUCAUUCUAUGUGAAGUCUACACUUCUACUCUAUUGCUUUGACCCGUGGAGGACAAGACAAAAGAUCUCCAAAAAAUAAGAAAGAUGUAGAAACAUACUAAUAGGUCUGAACUUGGGCUAGAAUUGCUCAGAAAAUAAGUUCAGUGUAGGUUUCUGUAUGAAUGUUUUGCCCAGAACUUCACUGAAAUUUUGUAAACCUGGACAUAGACCAAAUAGUUCUAAUUUUGCCUGUUUCAGUAUGAAGAGCCUUAUGGCUUAAUGAUGAUCUCCAAGAGUUACAAUGGCUUAAUUGAAUAUCAAAAUAAUAACAUGAACUCUUUAAAACAUUUUACCUCUAAUCUUGUUGUAGCUAUGAUGCUUUUGGCUCAAGUAGUGUAAGAGAUUCAUGCCAUCACAGGGAUUAGGCUUGAGAAAAUUUUUAGAGGACAAAGCUGAUAGUGCUGAAAUAUCACCCACAUAAAAAUGCCUUCAGCUACCUUCUGCAAGUACUUCUCUAACACUUCGCAGUUCAGACUGACUUCAUCAGGUAGAAUGAAACAACUUGUCAACAUAAUGGUCAUGAGCAAAAUUCUGUUUUAGGUGUUCAUAUUCUGCAGUGGUCAAAAUGAGAUUCUAAAGUGACUGUGUAAAACCAUAGAGACCCAAGAGUUUAGCCAUUACUUGUCACCAACUCCACCCUAAAAGUCUUGUGGACAGUAUUCAUAACAUUAAAGUCCGGGAGCCUGAAAUCAAUAGGAUUUGGGUUCAGGCCUAUGAACAGGGGCUCAACCCAUUUCUGAAAGUUAAGAUCUGACACCCACUUCUAUUUCCCUUCCCUCCAUCCCUUCGAUUACCAAGUCAUACAAAUCAAUCCUCUAAACAGUGGUACCCUACUUGCUGAUAUGACACUACUAGUGCUUUCAUGACAACAUCAGUUAUCAAGAGCUAGCUGCUUGUGAACAGAAGGUGCUUGACUAUAAAGCUGUGAGAUAACAACUGGAACUGAAAUCAGAAUAAGCAAAAUAUAUUGACUGUGUCAGCAAAACGUCUUUUUUGUUUAAGGAAUAUCUUAUGUCUGCCAAACUUAAAAUGAAACGUAUGACAUAUUUCAUCCUUUUCUCUCACAGUAAUAAGUAAAGCACAUUUAGCAAAAUGGCGGGCAUGACUGAACAAAUAAUAAAUAAUAAUGAUGAUGCCUGCA